AAGUCGUAACAAGGUUUCCGUAGGUGAACCUGCGGAAGGAUCAUUAUUGAAUUCGAGCGUGGCUUCACCGCCUGCUCUUUGACACUAGUCCAUAACACCUGUGAACUGUUGGAUGCGCAAGCAUUCUCUACACCUAAACAUUAUUGUAACAAAUGUAGUCUUAUUAUAACGAAAUAAAA
rnacentral:misc_RNA from 1 species